GAUGAACGCUGGCGGCGUGCCUAAUACAUGCAAGUCGAGCGAACAGACGAGGAGCUUGCUCCUCUGACGUUAGCGGCGGACGGGUGAGUAACACGUGGAUAACCUACCUAUAAGACUGGGAUAACUUCGGGAAACCGGAGCUAAUACCGGAUAAUAUAUUGAACCGCAUGGUUCAAUAGUGAAAGACGGUUUUGCUGUCACUUAUAGAUGGAUCCGCGCCGCAUUAGCUAGUUGGUAAGGUAACGGCUUACCAAGGCAACGAUGCGUAGCCGACCGGAGGGGGUGAUCGGCCACACUGGAACUGAGACACGGUCCAGACUCCUACGGGAGGCAGCAGUAGGGAAUCUUCCGCAAUGGGCGAAAGCCUGACGAGGCAACGCCGCGUGAGUGAUGAAGGUCUUCGGAUCGUAAAACUCUGUUAUUAGGGAAGAACAAAUGUGUAAGUAACUAUGCACGUCUUGACGGUACCUAAGCAGAAAGCCACGGCUAACUACGU
rnacentral:rRNA from 1 species